rnacentral:lncRNA from 1 species
UUCUGUCUCUCUCUACAACUAAUUUCUCUCUCUUGGUUUGUAUAUAGCCCAUGCUCUAAACAAUCAAAUUAGAGCCUAUCUUCAAAUGGUAUCGAGAAAUAUUGUUUUAAUAUUGAAAAUCUAUAUGUUAGUUUUAUUUUAAUUAUAAAAUUUAAAAUUAUAAAAAAUAUUGUAGUUUGAUCGGAUCUAUAAAAAUUUAAAAAUUUAAAAAUUUAAAAAUUUUAAAAAUUAACGGUCUAAAAAAAAUGUUUUACAAAAUACACUAAUUUUAAAACUUAAAAUCCAUUUUUUUCUUAAGUCCCAUCAAUUUAAAUACAUUUAAGCAACAAAACAACCUCCAGUAAAAUUUUCGAAAGUGGGUUCAAUGUUUAGAGCCUCUGCUCUGUAUAAACUUUUCCCCUCUCUAAAGCAUCAAUUUAUCUCUCCAUAAUUGAGGACACUUUUUCUCUUCUGUAGUGCCCAAGUGGACUUGGAUUGGAAAAACCACCCCACCACCCUAUGUUUGCACCAUUAUCAUCACAAGAGAAGAAAACAAAAAUUUUUCUGGGAUUUAUCUCCAAAGGACAUUUGCAGGGCCUUGCUUUAAGAUACCCUUAUUGGAAGAUAGCAUACAGAAGGGGUGGAGGAAAAUCAACGGCUCGAUUUCUUUUCAGAGAGAGAUCUGGCAAAUGGGUUUCACGAGGGACCACCAAACUCGAGAGGCUCAGCCCUGUGAACACCCUUCUGUCUGGUUUUUUCCAAGAUUGUACCAUCUUUGGUAGAAGGGGAGCUCUCUCUCUCUCUCUCUCUCUCUAAGAAAGGAGCCCUCUCUCUCU